CGGACGGGUGAGUAACGCGUGGAAAACCUGCCGUAUACUGGGGGAUAACACUUAGAAAUAGGUGCUAAUACCGCAUAAGCGCACAGCUUCGCAUGAAGUGGUGUGAAAAACUCUGGUGGUAUACGAUGGUUCCGCGUCUGAUUAGCUUGUUGGCGGGGUAAUGGCUCACCAAGGCGACGAUCAGUAGCCGGCCUGGAGAGGGUGAACGGCCACCAUUGGGACUGAGACACGGCCCAAACUCCUACGGAAGGCAGCAG
rnacentral:rRNA from 1 species